AUCGAACGCUGGCGGCAGGCCUAACACAUGCAAGUCGAGCGAGCGGCGGACGGGUGAGUAAUGUUUGGGGUUUGUACGUUAUAGGGGGAUAACUACUGGAAACGGUAGCUAAUACCGCAUACUAUCGGAUAACCCAUAUGGGUUUAGCUAGUAGGUGAGGUAAUGGCUGACCUAGGCGACGAUCCCUAGCUGGUCUGAGAGGAUGAUCAGCCACACUGGGACUGGGACACGGCCCAGAUUCCUACGGAGGCAGCAGUGGGGAAUAUUGCACAAUGGGCGCAAGCCUGAUAGAGCCAUGCCGCGUGUAUGAAGAAGGCCCUAGGGGUGUAAAGUACUUUCAGUCGGGAGGCGGUACCGACAGAAGAAGCACCGGCUAACUCCGUGCCAGCAGCCGCGGUAAUAC
rnacentral:rRNA from 1 species